ACUCCGUACGGGAGGCAGCAGGUAGGGAAUCUUCCACAAUGGGGACCGCAAGCCUGAUGGAGCAACACCGCGUGAGUGAAGAAGGGUUUCGGCUCGUAAAGCUCUGUUGUUAAAGAAGAACACGUAUGAGAGUAACUGUUCAUACGUUGACGGUAUUUAACCAGAAAGUCACGGCUAACUACGUGCCAGCAGCCGCGGUAAUACGUAGGUGGCAAGCGUUAUCCGGAUUUAUUGGGGCGUAAAGAGAGUGCAGGCGGUUUUCUAAGUCUGAUGUGAAAGCCUUCGGGCUUAACCGGAGAAGUGCAUCGGAAACUGGAUAACUUGAGUGCAGAAGAGGGGUAGUGGAACUCCAUGUGUAGCGGUGGAAUGCGUAGAUAUAUGGAAGAACACCAGUGGCGAAGCGGCUACCUGGUCUGCAACUGACGCUGAGACUCGGAAAGCAUGGGUAGCGAACAGGAUUAGAUACCCUGGUAGGAUAGCG
rnacentral:rRNA from 1 species